ACAAUCGUACAAAAAAACGCAAACGCGCAUCGAUCGUACGUAAUUACGUAGUGUUCUGCGACCGCGCCAAUAAGAUCGUGUGCACUAAAUGAAAUUGGUUCGGACUGUGUACACGGAUCGGAAACGGGCAACAGCAGGUUAGAAAAAGGGAUUAGAAAAAUAACACCAACAAUCUAUGUGAUGCGAUGGUCCGCGGAUGUCAGUAUAGUUGCUAUACGAAACACUAAAUUGCGUACUAUACGAAAUUUGAAAGUGUGUAACAAAAGUUUACUCGUACUAAUCGUACCAAGCCCGUAUACAGUUGUGUGUGGGAGGGGUUAGUGGUUCAACCUCCCCUCCAACAUUUUUAAA